AUGCAGUAAAAUACCGUGGUUCCCAUCCUACACUCCAGAGGUGGAAAAGGCUCCGAUGGUGUGGGGAAGGGCUCGCUCACAACUCUAUAGUCUGAUUUCUUAACUGGAAUAGGGAGUCUUUAAAAAAAAAACCAAACCAAAACCUACAAUUUCAAACUGCUUCACUUGUGUGGUUUUUGUUUUGUCUCUUUCUUAAGUAUAGUGUAUGGACAGCGCCAUGGGUUAGGGAACACUUCAGCUUCGUCUUCAGAGACUUUUCGUAUGUAGCCUUCUGCUGAAGUCAAUGGGUGUGGAGCAUUGUUUUUCUCCAAAAAAGUCGCAUGUGGUUGCACAAUGAAGACACUGCUUAUUUGUGUAAUGCAAAUCUGUUCCUGCUUGUUGGUACAAAGUGCAAGCAGAGAGCAUCAAAGUGUGGAGACCUCACAGAUCCUGCAUGAACACUUGCCACCGAACCUCAGUGACAUCCUGCAUUAUGUCAGAAUAAAAGAUGACAUCACAGUUGGUCUGUGAGUGAAUGGGAUUUGAACUCAGGGUUGAAUGUUGCUGCCUGAACUGUUUGUGCUACUGAUGCUGAGCAUCCUUUGCCCUGCUAUUGUUUGUUUGUUUGUGUAUUUUUACAACUGCUGAGUUUAGUCUCUCAAAAGUUAAUUGUUUUAUCAGGAGGCAGUCAGAAUCAGCAAGAGUUUCCUGUUUCCAUGUCUUUCUGUUGAUUUCCUUUUUUGUUGAAACACAACUUUCUCUGUUGAAACACAACUUUCUCUGUUGAAACACAACUCAGUUGCUGCACUCUUGAGUUUCCCUCUAUUGCCUUAAAGUGGAGGGAGGGGGAACUGUCUGAAAUAGCCUGAUAUUCUCAAAGAAAUAUUGACAGUGGGGUCUGGUGGCUAAAUUGUUAUGAUAAGACACAAAUUCUUCAGCUGAUGCUGUUGAAAUCCGCUGACUUUUCUGUGCUCCUAAUAGAAGGCUUUAAAAUAUCCAGCUGCAGACUGAUCCUCUCCAAGCAUGUGACACUGACAUCAGUCCUAGAAGUGAGGCGUUGAACUGCCUCCAAAAAUGAGCUCAUUGGGUAAUAUUCAAUGCACUGAUUUAGCAAGAUAUUGGUUAAUUUGAUUACAUGGUCACCUGUACAUACUGUUUGGAAGAUGGGAAUUCAUUCCAAAUUUAGUUGCUCCAGAUACCGAUGUUAUAAAAAUCCUCUUGAUCAGAUGCUGUGCUCCCACUGUAUGCUGGGAGCUGGGCUUGGCAGAGCCUAUCUCUAAUUGCCACUAAUUUGCUCCAAGACUUGCCAGUUUCUUGGCUUUUCUUCUCCCUGCACCCCUCCCAAUAAGCUGUAGGGAAUAAGAGUGGGAUUCUGUCGUUAAGCCAUCCCUCUAAAGCCACUCAUAAAACUCGCUUGAUUUUCUUACGGCUCUCUUGCCUUUUUUAAAUGGCUGCAUUAAAACACAGCCGUGGCCUUUCCCAGGAGUUUGGGUAGUGGUCCAUCUUCAGCCUCACCCACCGUCCAAAGCAGAGGGACCAAUAUGAAAUUAAACCCUGGCAGAAGGGCCCUGGAGGCUUCCUCCCCUGAUGUAGCUUGAGGCCAGCAGUAACUGCAGCCUUCCUGUUACAACCCACACAAAGAGCAUGGAUUUGGGCAGCACAGGAGUGAUGCUGACCCCAAAUAAACGUACUUGCCCAUUGUUUUGUAAACUUGAAGAUAUUCUUUAUUUGCCUUUAAUUACAGCAGGAGUAUGUUCUAGAUGCUGCUGUCUGAGCACCUCAACAUACGUGUGAUUGUUUAUUUGAAACAUGAGCAUAAGAGAAACAGCGUGUUAGAAGAAAGGUUCAUGUGAAUUUGUGCAGGAGCAGUUUUGUCUCCCUCACCCCGCCCAGGAUUUUCUGCCUGUUACUGCACAUUGCAGGAUUGUUAGUUUUGGAUGCUGUUUCCUCCUGAAUGCAAGUCUUUAUGAAGCUGCCCAUAGUGUGGCUCUUUUCUCUCAAGAAACGCUGCUGCUGACUUAAGACAGAGGAAGAUGCUGUGUGUUACAGGACUGUAACCAUGUCUGCAUUUGCAAGCUGUUGUGCAACUGAAGAACUACAUUGUGCAAAACAGAGUGGAAAAACUGCUGCUGAAGUGCACAGGAAGUUGAGGCGAUGGGAAGCCCUAUGUUUAGAGCAAGAAGAGAAGCUGGGUUUGAAGAGCAAGAUAGGAAAACUCUGGUCCUGCAAGAGCAAAUGAUCCCUUAGAGCAGCCAAGGAGGCUGGUUGGUGUGAACUCUGUGCAAAGUUCAGUGGAGAGUUUGUGCUCCAGUGUCCCGGGCAAUGCUGCCUCUUCCUCCUUCUUGUUUACAAGAAGCUGGCAUGAUUUCAGAAUAAACUGCUGAAACAUCCUUGGUGGGGAGGAGGAUUGGGAUGACAAAAUACCUCUUUGCAUGUAGGAAGUUACUGCUACAGCAGUAACUGUUCAAGUUGGCUGAAUGGCUGCUGCCUGGGUUUGGUUAAUGUCAGGAAUUGUGCUGGUGGGAAGCGAAUCCCGGGGUGGGAAUGUGCAGUCCCCGCGGUGCCUCAGCAGUUCAUAGCGUUCUUCAGAUGCUGCCUCUGCAAAAGGAGGGAAUAAACUUCCGCUUUUCCCAGUAAAAUGCCUGUGGUUCAAGCAUCACAGGGUUGGUUUGGUCCAUCUUUAUUGAACAAUAACAAGAGUUGUGCAGAAAACACGCAGGGCACGGAAAUGGAGAGCUGAGCCCCAUCUACCCUCUGCUGCUGGAGGGCGGGAGGAGGUGGGGAAAGAUGGAAAAGUGGAAAACAGCUUUGCCUGAGCCUGUUUUGAUACUGAAGAGCUCUUUGCAGUGAUUUGAGAAGGGGGUGGGGAGAGAACCAGAUGCUCUUAGGAAGUUCAUACCAUUGUUAAUAAUGUAAUUCACAGAUGGUGGUGAAGGCCUUGAAGAGGCUUUCAUGCAGUACUUACGCUCUGUAACAGAUCAUCACAUAAGGGCUCACAAAUAGAGAUGACUUAAUCCCAAGGAUGAGUCUACAGUGAUCUGUUUGAUGGUGGCUCUGCAGAUCACUGCAACCUUUUUAAACAGCUGAGAGCCUUCCGGAUCUCUAAAUGUUGAGCACUAGAACUGGAUCAAUCCCUAAUUAAAUUGUCAGGAUAAAAUGUUAGUAUAGCUUUGAGACUUUUCCAAUGAAAGUAGCUCUCAU